rfam:Triticum aestivum genome assembly, contig: Triticum_aestivum_CS42_TGACv1_scaffold_030405_1BL
UUUCUACUCCCUCCGUCCGAAAAUAUUGUCAUCAAAAUGGAUAAAAAGAGAUGUAUCUAAAACUAAAAUACGUCUAGAUACAUUUCCUUUAAUCCAUUUUGAGGACAAGUAUUUCCGGACAGAGGGAGUAUUUG